rnacentral:rRNA from 1 species
UUCGGACCUCCAAUCAAGCAAGAGGACCCGCUGAAUUUAAGCAUAUAACUAA